rnacentral:rRNA from 1 species
AUGCAGGAGAUUGUUUGCGGAUGUUCGGGAAACCCAGAAGCAGAGAACAACCAUUCUUGCAGAUGUGAGUGUCCGGCACUGAUCAGGCUUCUACGAGCGGACGACAAGAGUUGGUUCAUUACUGAGCAUCAUGAGAAACAUAACCACUCAAUGUCGCUAACUAUGGGGGAGAAGGUGCAUUGGCCAUCGCAAAAACGCAUAUAUUUGUAUACUAAGGAUCUGGUAAAGGCAGAACAAUGUAAAUCGAGGGAAAACUUACAGCAUCAUCGGAAGCUUUUUUGGGUCUAUGGAAAAUUUCCCUUUCACUAA